rnacentral:sRNA from 1 species
GCUGAACGCGGAGCUGCGGCGGCUAUGCUGUGGAGCGGCUGCCGGCGUUUCGGGGCGCGCCUCGGCUGCCUGCCCGGCGGUCUCCGGGUCCUCGUCCAGACCGGCCACCGGAGCUUGACCUCCUGCAUCGACCCUUCCAUGGGACUUAAUGAAGAGCAGAAAGAAUUUCAAAAAGUGGCCUUUGACUUUGCUGCCCGAGAGAUGGCUCCAAAUAUGGCAGAGUGGGACCAGAAGCAUGUGUGCCUGGAUGAUUGAUAGCUUCGGAAAUGGGGAACAGAGGCACAAAUUUUGCCCACCGCUCUGUACCAUGGAGAAGUUUGCUUCCUACUGCCUCACUGAACCAGGAAGUGGGAGUGAUGCUGCCUCUCUUCUGACCUCCGCUAAGAAACAGGGAGAUCAUUACAUCCUCAAUGGCUCCAAGGUACUAGCGUGCAUCCUCCCAGAGCACUUUGGAGAUUGUUCCCAGCUUCCUCCUGACAUCCUCUGGUUCCUUCACAUCCGCGGGUUAAUACUCCCAUAGGAUUUUUAUGUGUUGGGAAGAGAACCUCUGACCAAUUUCUCUUUCCUUAUUCUCACUGUUUGUAUCUCUUCUAAUCUGAUUCCAGAUCAUUUCAUUGACUUUUGUCUAUCCUUUUUAUACUCUCUUGAACUGUAUCUCUGAUUCUGCAGUCACUGCAGCUACCUUUUACCCCACCUCAGUCUCUGUGCCAUUGGACCUUAUUGUUAGGAGGACCCAGUGGUGUUCCCAGACGCUGUGAGAACUCAAGCAUUCCCUGGUCCUUUUGCACCCCUUUUACCCCCACAGGCCUUCAUCAGUGGUGCUGGUGAGUCAGACGUCUAUGUGGUCAUGUGCCGAACAGGAGGGCCAGGCCCCAAGGGCAUCUCAUGCAUAGUUGUUGAGAAGGGGACCCCUGGCCUCAGCUUUGGCAAGAAGGAGAAAAAGGUGAGUGGCUGUUGGACAGGAAACAAUUUAGGUUAUGAGACUCUGCCACCUGCCAGCCCAACUCCUGCUCUAUUUCAGAAAACAGGUUUGCAUACUUGCUAACCUACCUUUGAAGCAGUUGCUUCUAUUAGGAUUUUCAACAGGAGCAUAUGAAAUACAACAGGGCAUUAUUAAACACUA